rnacentral:lncRNA from 1 species
GUAAUUCAUUUACGAAUAUUUUUAUUACUUACUAUCCUGACAACUUCAAAAGAAUUUUGGACCAACUUACAAUAUGCAGCUUUAUAUAAUAAAUCUGAAAAUAAAAUAACAUAAAGUCGAAGUCUUAGUAAUAAAAAGCAGAGGCAAGGGGUAGGAAUUAAGAAAGGACAAAAGGUGAAUUACCGCUGCCCAGCACCAUAGACGGUUCUGUGAGAUGCACAAAAGAGCUUGAGACCCCCUGGAAGAUAACUGACGACUGGCUGGUCACAGUUAAAUAGAACGACAGAGAUGGGUUCCCAGAGAAGAGCUGCUGAGCUCAGAAGCGAGCGCCUGACAAGAGUUGUGCCGCACGCGGCCACACUGAGUUCCAGAGAGGCUGCUCUUGCGUCUCCCACACAGACGGGUCUGCUGCUCUGGACGGACGCCCACCUCCCUACAGCCUUGUUCUCAUGGAAUAUUACCUCUUCCUUUUUCAUCUUUGCCAAGAGCACAUCAUGUGUCUUAUUUUGCAUUUAUUUGGUCUUUACCGAGAUUGAAAAUAUUUUCAAGUGUUUCCUGGC